rnacentral:sRNA from 12 species
UACUGCGCCGAGUGUGUAAGCGGAAACGCCCACAAAAGUUUGUGUUAUAACUUUGAACAACUCGUAGCGCAGUUUU